AGAUUGAACGCUGGCGGCAUGCCUAACACAUGCAAGUCGAACGGGAGUAGCAAUACUCUAGUGGCGGACGGGUGAGGAAUACGUAGGAAUUUGCCCUUAAGUGGGGGAUAACCCGGGGAACCCGAUUAAUACCGCAUGACCUCGAAAGAG
rnacentral:rRNA from 1 species